AAAGACACCAGAAUGAAGGCCCUGCAGGUUUUCUCUCUUUUUACUCUCCCAAUAUUUUGUGCCUUGAUCCAACAACCUGCUUAUGGAGGCAUAAACCAAAGAAGCUGGUGUGCUGCUCCUGCGUAUUGCGCUCCACCGCCAGAAGAAGCCAAAGACAUUACUUUCAUUUCCCCACAAACAUGUUCUUCAGUUGGAAAUGGUCAACACUGUCCAGAACUUCCUUGGAAGCUCUCAUUCAGCUCUCUUGAGAUAUCAAGCAAGCUUAACUUUGGCUGGUCUCCAUAUUUGGAGGUAAAUGUCACAUUUAACCACAAACUAACCACCUUUGACCACCAAAACAUAGUCAUCCUGGAGGACGAUCCAGUCGUUGUUGAGUCUGCUUCAUUCCUUUUUGAGAAACAUCCCUCUGAGUCAACAUUGUUAAGCUACCAAAA